rnacentral:lncRNA from 1 species
CGUUGGGCAAGUUAUUUAAUCUCUCUAAUUCAAUAUCCUCAUAAAGAAAGUGAAGAAGAUAUUAGUGAUAUCCAGUGAGCCAGUGGAUCUGAACACACUGAAAAGUGUACAAGCUGAUUUUGUCAUCUCUAUUUCACUUUGUCAAACAAGAAACAUCUCAAGUGAAGGAAACUGCUACCUGAAAAUAAGGAGGUCCAGGGCAGAGGUGGAAGCCUCUGGUCCUUUUUCCCUGUUGCUGAGAGUGGCCUUGGAAACCCUCAGUAAUACUCUGUACACCCAGGAGGCCGUACACCCAGGGAGGCCAGAAGAGAAACCAGAGCAGCUCCACAGCCCAGGCCUGGAGGGGAAGCCAGAGGGAGUUUAUGCAGCAGGAGCCCUGGGCCGGCCCCGCCCGGCUGCCUGCCUGACUGAGGGCUGCCUCUGCAGUUGAGUCGUCCCCAUCCCCUGGGGGACUGUUUUCUCUAAUAAUCCUUUAAUAUUAGGAAAUAUCUGUCAG